CUCAAUCACCAUCAACAUCGGAUCGUAUCGAUUUCAACUGUUACCAGCAUUUUAUACAAAGGCGACAUCAGAGCGCCGGAAUCAUGUACUCAUCGCUGGUAUCUGCUGCCACAUAUUUAGCAGAGAGCUCUGAGGCACGACGAAACGGAUAUAAAGAUAAACAUGCACAGGUUGAAUCUAAGCAUGUUUCGUCAGCAAAUGAACAUCUAAAUGCCC